rnacentral:rRNA from 1 species
UACGGAGGGUGCAAGCGUUGUCCGGAAUCACUGGGCGUAAAGGGCGCGUAGGCGGCUCAUGAAGGCUGUGGUGAAAGUCCGGGGCUCAACCUCGGAUCGGCCGUGGCGACUCGUGGGCUGGAGCACUGUAGAGGCGGGUGGAAUUCCGGGUGUAGCGGUGGAAUGCGUAGAGAUCCGGAAGAACACCAGUGGCGAAGGCGGCCAGCUGGGCCAACCCUGACACUGAGGCGCGAAGGCGUGGGGAGCGAACGGG